rnacentral:rRNA from 1 species
UGGCGAACGGGUGAGUAACACGUGGGUGAUCUGCCCUGCACUCUGGGAUAAGCCUGGGAAACUGGGUCUAAUACCGGAUAGGACCAUGCUUUAGUGUGCGUGGUGGAAAGUUUUUUCGGUGUAGGAUGAGCCCGCGGCCUAUCAGCUUGUUGGUGGGGUAAUGGCCUACCAAGGCGGCGACGGGUAGCCGGACUGAGAGGUUGGUCGGCCACAUUGGGACUGAGAUACGGCCCAG